UACAGAGGUGGCAAGCGUUGUUCGGAAUUACUGGGCGUAAAGGGCGCGUAGGCGGCUUGGUCAGUCCCGUGUGAAAUCCCUCGGCUCAACUGAGGAACUGCACGGGAAACUGCCUGGCUUGAGUUCGGGAGAGGGAAGCGGAAUUCCGGGUGUAGCGGUGAAAUGCGUAGAUAUCCGGAGGAACACCGGUGGCGAAGGCGGCUACCUGGACAAUUGCUGACGCUCAGGCACGAAAGCGUGGGGAGCAAAAGGG
rnacentral:rRNA from 1 species